rnacentral:rRNA from 1 species
GGAGGCAGCAGUGGGGAAUAUUGCACAAUGGGCGAAAGCCUGAUGCAGCGACGCCGCGUGAGGGAUGACGGCCUUCGGGUUGUAAACCUCUUUCAGUAGGGAACAAGGCCAGUGUUUAGCUGGUUGAGGGUACUUGCAGAAGAAGCGCCGGCUAACUACGUGCCAGCAGCCGCGGUAAUACGUAGGGCGCAAGCGUUAUCCGGAAUUAUUGGGCGUAAAGAGCUCGUAGGCGGUUUGUCGCGUCUGCCGUGAAAGUCCGGGGCUCAACCCCGGAUCUGCGGUGGGUACGGGCAGACUAGAGUGAUGUAGGGGAGACUGGAAUUCCUGGUGUAGCGGUGAAAUGCGCAGAUAUCAGGAGGAACACCGAUGGCGAAGGCAGGUCUCUGGGCAUUAACUGACGCUGAGGAGCGAAAGCAUGGGGAGCGAACAGGAUUAGAUACCCUGGUAGUCCAUGCCGUAAACGUUGGGCACUAGGUGUGGGGGACAUUCCACGUUUUCCGCGCCGUAGCUAACGCAUUAAGUGCCCCGCCUGGGGAGUACGGCCGCAAGGCUAAAACUCAAAGGAAUUGACGGGGGCCCGCACAAGCGGCGGAGCAUGCGGAUUAAUUCGAUGCAACGCGAAGAACCUUACCAAGGCUUGACAUGAACUGGAAACACUUGGAAACAAGUGCCCCGCUUGCGGUCGGUUUACAGGUGGUGCAUGGUUGUCGUCAGCUCGUGUCGUGAGAUGUUGGGUUAAGUCCCGCAACGAGCGCAACCCUCGUUCUAUGUUGCCAGCACGUAGUGGUGGGGACUCAUAGGAGACUGCCGGGGUCAACUCGGAGGAAGGUGAGGACGACGUCAAAUCAUCAUGCCCCUUAUGUCUUGGGCUUCACGCAUGCUACAAUGGCCGGUACAAUGGGUUGCGAUACUGUGAGGUGGAGCUAAUCCCAAAAAGCCGGUCUCAGUUCGGAUUGGGGUCUGCAACUCGACCCCAUGAAGUCGGAGUCGCUAGUAAUCGCAGAUCAGCAACGCUGCGGUGAAUACGUUCCCGGGCCUUGUACACACCGCCCGUCAAGUCACGAAAGUUGGUAACACCCGAAGCCGGUGGCCUAACCCC